AUGGCCCGAAAGCUCCCACCCAGAGCUGGGGCAGGCGAGGAGGCGGGAGCUGGGGCCGCGCUCGACGACUCGCCAGGCCGCUCAGGACGGCCCCGAGGGCUGGGAGAAGCCGCAGAAGCGGUUGGGCUGGACGAGCGAGUUCAGAGGCCAACCCUCCCCACCCGGGGGCCGCGGCGGAGAGCGGUGCUCCCAGGGCUGUGGUCGGGGCGGCCCGGGGCCCUGCGGCGGCCCGGCUGCGAGGGGGUGGGGCGAGCGAGCGCUGAGACGUUCGCCCCUCUUCAAACUCGCCCAAGUUGGCGAAAGAAGGCCAGGCUGGCGCCGAAGGCCUCCGAGAGCGUGGCCGUUGGGCUGCGUUGCCCGAGUGGUUGCGUUCGGCCCAGACACUCGCACCCCCCGCGGCGAGGCGGCUUCACACUCACGCACACUCUCCCUCAGGACGCCAGGGGCUGGGGGGGCGCCGCGACGGAACCUCGCUCCCCGCACGCGGGCUCGGCCCGAAGGGGCGGGACGGCCUUCCUCGCGCCGUCUCGGGGCCCACCCGCGCGCCGCCACACCUCAGCCCGCUCACGCGCAGCCCCGGCAGGGCCCCUCGGCGCGCCGCGGAGCUCUGGGCAGCUCCCAGGUGUCUCUGGGGACGGAGAGGAAAGCCACAAAGCAAAGGAAGCAGCAAAGAGAAGGCGAAGGAGGAGCAGGGGCCAGGGUCCUGUGGGCUCGCCUGGAGUGGGUAGGGGGAACACUGAAGGGGCUGCGAAGGCUCCGGGGGGUCGCGCGUGGCCUUCGGGCUCAGCCCCCACGCGCGGUUCCCCUUCCCUCCCCUUCCCGGGCUCCUGGCUCCCUCUCAGGGCAGUUUCUUCCUCCUCCCCUCGGGCCCUCUCAGCUCCGGCGCGGGACUCAGUCCUGGGGAUUAAAAGAAAGGAGGGAGGGGAAAAGGGAGGGGAAGGGAAGGGGCGGAGGAGAAAGGAGGACGAUCCCUCCAAAGGCGGGUGUUGAGUUUCAGCUCGGGACCCUCGGGCCAAACUGCACGCCCCCUCCCGGGCCCUGUACGCGGCGCCUCUUCCUCUCUCCGUCGCGGAGGACCUCCCGGUCGUGUGGUCUGCUUUCUCCCGGGAGCUUCCCUCACCCCGCCACGCCCCCGCUCUGCCCGGCCAGCCCCGCGCCGCUGUCUGCCUCCCUUUCGUGAGCCCCACAUCUGUCUUUCCCUUGGGAGGGAGCGCGCUCCUUCUCCUUUCUGGGGUCCUCAGCGGAGCGUCUCUUCUCUCUUGGCGUUACCACCGCAGGGGUGGCAGGGGUGACCGGCCGUUCUUGCGGGGGACAAGGACGGGGAGCUGCGGCUGGACAUGGAUUCUGGCCCUGGCAAGAGAACAUGAGGCUGGUCCCAGAGCUGCAGGCUGGCGGGUUGUGCCGCUCUUACACUUCUCUGCCAGUCUGGGCCUGUCCACCGCCCUCACUCUGGCUCACUCUGCUACCACGCGGAGCAGGAGUGCGGACUGCGGGCACAAAAGGGCAGACCUCUUUCAGAGGAGCUGGGAUCAGCUGCAAGAACAGGGUUCUUGGGUUCCCACACCUCUCCUGACCUAUUACUACUCCUUAGUGUGUGCUGUUCCCUCCAGCUACCCCUACCUCCUGCUUCUUCCCAUUGAGACACACCUCAAGGCCUCUUAGGCUGGAAGGGAGCCUUCCUUCUUCCAUUUUUGAGAUUCCUAGUAUUUAAAAGAAUUAGAUGCUAAACAGGAUUGAAAAGCUGUAGUAGAUUUUCAGUGUUUACAUUUAACAAAUUAACACUCCAAAUACAUAAAGCAGACAACGACUCUAGGUAUAACUUCAUUUGUAGAUAACAUCAGAAGUCUAAUUUAAGGCCCUUUGUGAACCUGAGGCUCCCUCCUCUCCUCACAUUCCACAGGCCCACACAUGCAGACAUUUCCUAGGAGGGGAGGGGGAUACCUGGCCUGGCUCCCCCUCCCUGUCACCUGGGCACCUGUGAAGAGCCCUGUGGGACCUAUGGGGUGGGUUAGGAAGAGAUUCUGUUCUGGUCUUGACUCAGAGUUGGGUGCAGACCUAUGGGUGGGCCUGGGAACUCCAAACAGACUUAGAUGCCCUUAGGGCAGUAGAGGAACUUAUAAAUUUCCAGAUGCCUCUGAAGGGAGAGCUCCCCAUCCCAGCUCCAGCCCCAUCCAAUCUCCUCCAGACCCCAGCCCUGGGGGUCCUGGAUGCCUGGAACACAGACAUUCAGCUGCUGGGGAGUGACUUGGUAUGCUCUGCCCAGAGGACUGUCAAGGCAAAUGGGGGCCCAAGAUGGAAGUGGGCAGAAAAUCCAAUUCCCAAAGAUGAAUGCUCAGACAGGCACAAGGAGAAAUAGAUGGAGGUCAGAAGACUAGGCAGAAGAGAAUUGCUAGGACCAGGCAGAAUGGUGGUUUGGGAGGCGGGCAUUGGGGCUCACUGCCUGUAGUUCAGUGCCUGGGGAAAUAAAUGUAGAUGAGGGGGAGCAGAGUACAAACCUGCAGGAAAAUAAGAAUAUGCUUCUGGAGUGCUCAGGCAUGGAAUGUAGCUUGUGAGACUCAAGAAUGAAUCCUGUUUUAUUAGCUAUGUGAUUUUGGCCAAGUUAUAUAACAUCUCUGAGUCUCAGGUCCUCAUCUGUAACAGUGUCUUUGGUGAAGAGCAAAUAUAUGUAAAAUGCCUGGGGCAAAGAUCUCCCUCCAUGAAUUUUCUUCAUCUUGCUGCCCCCCCACCCCCCACUUUACUUUCAUGAAAAUUGGAAGUGUUUCUUUGUUGAGGACAGGAAGAGCCUUUCCCUGUCCUUAUCUCAUCUUUGCCUUCUCCUUUGCAGAGGUUUAAGGCGAUUCUACCUUCUUCAGGGAGAACUCUGGGCUCCAGGUCACUCCCUCCAAAAGGUUGUGGAAAUAAAUUUGAAUAAACAAAACAGGUUUGCUGAAAAUAAAACCAGGACGCCCAAGCUGCUCCAGUCAGCCUGCUUCCACAAGGCCCCACCUGUCAGCCAGUGCAGAACCUUGGCUGAGCGAGCAGCAUCCAUCAUGAACCAGGUGAUCGUGUUCUUGGUAAUGGCCAUGGGAACCCACACCCUCAGUAUUCGGAUCAAGAAGGACUGCAUCCACUGGUCCAGCUGCUGCCCCAGCAAAGGGCAGAACCCCACUCAUGAAUGGCUGACGGAGAACACUGUGCUCAUGACCCCGCCAGAGAGCGCUAGCCUCAUCCACUCCCUAGAAUCCUGCAGGGCCAGUGAAGAUGGACCCCUCAACAGCAGGUCUAUCUCCCCCUGGAGAUAUGAGUGAGUCUGCAGCCCCCUCCCAAAUUCUUGCAUGUGUUCCUGUCAGAGUAUAUGCGAGGGUCUGGGGAGUUCCACACAAUUCCAGCCUGCCUGCCCCUUUUUAUCUGAGACUCCAUAAAGAUUUGAGUGUUUCACAAGG